ACGGAAACUGGCCGACCUGAUCUCCAAGA
rnacentral:piRNA from 1 species